rnacentral:rRNA from 1 species
ACUGAGGUCCGCGCAUCUGCUGGGAUGCUGGCGUAAUGGCUGUAAGCGGCCCGUCUUGUAACACGGACCAAGGAGUCUAACAUCUAUGCGAGUGUUUGGGUGUCAAGCCCAGACGCGUAAUGAAAGUGAACGGAGGUGGGAACCUUUUAGGUGCACCAUCGACCGAUCCUGAUGUCUUCGGAUGGAUUUGAGUAAGAGCAUGGCUGUUGGGACCCGAAAGAUGGUGAACUAUGCUUGAAUAGGGUGAAGCCAGAGGAAACUCUGGUGGAGGCUCGCAGCGGUUCUGACGUGCAAAUCGAUCGUCAAAUUUGGGCAUAGGGGCAAAGACUAAUCGAACUAUCUAGUAGCUGGUUCCUG